rnacentral:rRNA from 2 species
GGGUUGUGAGGUUAAGCGACUAAGCGUACACGGUGGAUGCCCUGGCAGUCAGAGGCGAUGAAGGACGUGCUAAUCUGCGAUAAGCGCCGGUAAGGUGAUAUGAACCGUUAUAACCGGCGAUUUCCGAAUGGGGAAACCCAGUGUGACUCGUCACACUAUCAUUAACUGAAUCCAUAGGUUAAUGAGGCGAACCGGGGGAACUGAAACAUCUAAGUACCCCGAGGAAAAGAAAUCAACCGAGAUUCCCCCAGUAGCGGCGAGCGAACGGGGAGGAGCCCAGAGCCUGAAUCAGCAUGUGUGUUAGUGGAAGCGUCUGGAAAGGCGCGCGAUACAGGGUGACAGCCCCGUACACAAAAGCGCAUGUGCUGUGAGCUCGAUGAGUAGGGCGGGACACGUGGUAUCCUGUCUGAAUAUGGGGGGACCAUCCUCCAAGGCUAAAUACUCCUGACUGACCGAUAGUGAACCAGUACCGUGAGGGAAAGGCGAAAAGAACCCCGGCGAGGGGAGUGAAAAAGAACCUGAAACCGUGUACGUACAAGCAGUGGGAGCACCCUUUGGGGUGUGACUGCGUACCUUUUGUAUAAUGGGUCAGCGACUUAUAUUCUGUAGCAAGGUUAACCGAAUAGGGGAGCCGGAGGGAAACCGAGUCUUAAUUGGGCGUUAAGUUGCAGGGUAUAGACCCGAAACCCGGUGAUCUAGCCAUGGGCAGGUUGAAGGUUGGGUAACACUAACUGGAGGACCGAACCGACUAAUGUUGAAAAAUUAGCGGAUGACCUGUGGCUGGGGGUGAAAGGCCAAUCAAACCGGGAGAUAGCUGGUUCUCCCCGAAAGCUAUUUAGGUAGCGCCUCGUGAA